rnacentral:rRNA from 1 species
UACGUAGGGGGCUAGCGUUGUCCGGAAUCAUUGGGCGUAAAGCGCGUGUAGGCGGCCCGGUAAGUCCGCUGUGAAAGUCGGGGGCUCAACCCCGGGCCUGCAUUCGAUACGGGCAGACUAGAGUUCGGUAGGGGAGUCUGGAAUUCCUGGUGUAGCGGUGAAAUGCGCAGAUAUCAGGAGGAACACCAAUGGCGAAGGCAGCACUCUGGGACGUGACUGACGCUGAGACGCGAAAGCGUGGGGAGCAAACAGG